CAGUAGCCACGGUAAUACGUAGGGCGCAAGCGUUGUCCGGAAUUAUUGGGCGUAAAGAGCUCGUAGGCGGUCUGUCGCGUCUGGUGUGAAAUCCCGAGGCUCAACCUCGGGCUUGCAUCGGGUACGGGCAGACUAGAGUGCGGUAGGGGAGACUGGAAUUCCUGGUGUAGCGGUGGAAUGCGCAGAUAUCAGGAGGAACACCGAUGGCGAAGGCAGGUCUCUGGGCCGCAACUGACGCUGAGGAGCGAAAGCAUGGGGAGCGAACAGGAUUAGAGACCCCUGUAGUCCCUGUCUCUUAUAC
rnacentral:rRNA from 1 species